UGAUGUAAAUUGGAGUAAUACUGACAGACCUUCUUCUUUGAUAGACUAAGCAGUGUUGCUAGAAACAAAUCAUUGCAUAACUAAAUCAUGAUCCACCAUGCACAUAGCCCACCAACCAAUGGAGAAGACCAGCAGAACAGAUAGUAGGCUAUCUCUUCCAGCCUCAAGCCCCAAUGCUGUCAUUCCUAAGUUGAGACGUUGAAGUCUCUUUGCCUCCCUGGUACAGAGUCUGUUUGCCUUGUCUUGUCCAUGAACCAGAGUUCCUUCAAGUCCUUUCUUGCUCUGCAGUUCUACAAACCAGUGAGCCUGCUCUUGCCUCCAUGCUUGUCCUAGGCUGAUGCUGCUCUGCUACUACUCAGUUAAAGAAACAUUGGCCCAAGAGGACAGGCACAAGGACAGGUGGAAGAAGAAAGCUGUCCUGCCACCAGGAGAUGGCAUGGUGGUAUGGCAGUCCCAGGGCCUCAGAGAGAGCAGACAGACACUGGAGAUCCAGGCAAGAGUAGCUCAAGGUAAGGGUGUUCUGGAGUAUACUUUGGGGGACAAAGGGCAGAAGAAGAAAGUUGUCCAUGAGUUCACCAAGCCCUUCCUCUCUUAAGAUGAGUCGUUCAUUGAGUUUCACCAUGGGGAGAUGGCCAUUGUGAAUCAGCCAUAGUCAACACUCUUUGAGGUAGAACUGAUGAGCUUUGCAGAUGCCUCAGCAGAAUUACUCCUGGACAAGUGUUGGGUGUCAGAGUCACCAGAAUUUGAUGGCAGCCCCCAGUGGAACAUAAUAAAUAGGUACAUAUCCUCAGCUAGCAGCUGAGAGGGCAGAACCAGAACCCCAGUCCUACCAGAUAUAGCCCAAGAUUCUGUAAGAAUAUCUUACAUGCUAAAGCAAGAUCCCCAAAGUGAGGACCUGAUAUGGUUAGGCUGUGUCCCCACCCAAAAUCUCAUCUUGAAUUAUCCCCACAAUCCCCACUUGUCAAGGGCAGGACCAAGGGUGGAGGUAUGGGGGCAGUUUCCCCGGAGCUGUUCUCAUGAUAGUGACUCUCACGAGAUCUGAUGGUUUUAUAAGUGUCUGACAUGUCCCCUGCUUGCACUCACUCCAUCCUGCCACCCUGUGAAGGAGGUGCCUGCUUCUCCUUUGCCUUCUGCCAUGAUUGUAAGUUCCC
ensembl:lncRNA LINC00954 long intergenic non-protein coding RNA 954